CCUACGGGGAGCAGCAGUGAGGAAUAUUGGUCAAUGGACGCAAGUCUGAACCAGCCAUGCCGCGUGCAGGAAGACGGCUCUAUGAGUUGUAAACUGCUUUUGUACGAGGGUAAACGCAGAUACGCGUAUCUGUCUGAAAGUAUCGUACGAAUAAGGAUCGGCUAACUCCGUGCCAGCAGCCGCGGUAAUACGGAGGAUUCAAGCGUUAUCCAGAUUUAUUGGGUUUAAAGGGUGCGUAGGCGGUCGGAUAAGUUAGAGGUGAAAUCCCGAGGCUCAACUUCGGAAUUGCCUCUGAUACUGUUCGGCUGGAGAGUAGUUGCGAUAGGCGGAAUGUAUGGUGUAGCGGUGAAAUGCUUAGAGAUCAUACAGAACACCGAUUGCGAAGGCAGCUUACCAAGCUACGUCUGACGUUGAGGCACGAAAGCGUGGGGAGCAAACAGGAUUAGAUACCCGAGUAGUC
rnacentral:rRNA from 1 species